CAACGAGCGCAACCCCUACGUUUAGUUGCUAACGCGUGAAGGCGAGCACUCUAGCGAACUGCCGUUGACAAAACGGAGGAAGGUGGGAUGACGUCAAAUCAUCAUGCCCCUUAUGUUCUGGGCUACACACGUGCUACAAUGGCCGGUACAGACGGACGCAAAGCCGCGAGGUGGAGCAAAUCCUAAAAAGCCGGUCUCAGUUCGGAUUGCAGGCUGCAAUUCGCCUGCAUGAGGUCGGAAUCGCUAGUAAUCGCAGGUCAGCAUACUGCGGUGAAUACGUUCCCGGGUCUU
rnacentral:rRNA from 1 species